rnacentral:rRNA from 1 species
CAGGUCUUGACAUCCCGCUGACCGCCAUGGAGACAUGGCUUUCCCUUCGGGGACAGCGGUGACAGGUGGUGCAUGGUUGUCGUCAGCUCGUGUCGUGAGAUGUUGGGUUAAGUCCCGCAACGAGCGCAACCCUUGUCCUUAGUUGCCAUCAUUCAGUUGGGCACUCUAAGGAGACUGCCGUACAAAUACGGAGGAAGGUGGGGAUGACGUCAAAUCAUCAUGCCCCUUAUGACCUGGGCUACACACGUGCUACAAUGGGUGGUACAAAGGGCAGCGAACCCGCGAGGGGGAGCGAAUCCCAAAAAGCCACUCUCAGUUCGGAUUGCAGGCUGCAACUCGCCUGCAUGAAGCCGGAAUCGCUAGUAAUCGCGGAUCAGCAUGCCGCGGUGAAUACGUUCCCGGGCCUUGUACACACCGCCCGUCACACCACGAGAGUCUGUAACACCCGAAGUAAUCGAAUUCCCGCGGCCGCCAGGCGGCCGGGAGCAGCGACGUCGCCC